rnacentral:rRNA from 1 species
GAGUUUGAUCGUGGCUCAGGAUGAACGCUAGCUACAGGCUUAACACAUGCAAGUCGAACGAAGCGCUUGAAUGGAAUUCUUCGGAAGGAAGCUCAAGCGACUGAGUGGCGGACGGGUGAGUAACGCGUGGGUAACCUGCCUCAUACAGGGGGAUAACAGUUAGAAAUGACUGCUAAUACCGCAUAAGCACACGUGAUCGCAUGAUCGAGCGUGAAAAACUCCGGUGGUAUGAGAUGGACCCGCGUCUGAUUAGCUAGUGUGGGUAAUGGCCCACAAGGCGACGAUCAGUAGCCGGCCUGAGAGGGUGAACGGCCACAUUGGGACUGAGACACGGCCCAAAACUCCUACGGGAGCAGCAGUGGGAAUAUUGCAC